rnacentral:sRNA from 1 species
UACUUUUCAUAAUAUAAAGUGUUUA